rnacentral:tRNA from 1 species
GCCUGGGUGGUGGAAUUGGUAGACACGCAGGACUUAAAAUCCUGUAAUCUCACGAUUGUACGGGUUCAAGUCCCGUCCCGGGUA